rnacentral:snoRNA from 1 species
UGAGGCCUGUGAUGAAUGAAAUAUUUGCCUACAUUGUCUGACUGGAUAUAUUGAAGGAGAAUAUCGAAAUAAUCUGAGUCCUCA